rnacentral:lncRNA from 1 species
AUGUGUUAAACAUUUGGAACUGGAGGACCAGUCCAUUUUUACAUUUCACUCAUGAACAUGGUGGGUUUUACAAGUGUUUCUAAUUAAAUUCUACAGAACACAGAUAUCUUAUGUAUACCUUGUUCUAUCAGGGGCAAGCAGAGGUGAAUGAAAAAUCCCUGGAAACUGUUUGGAUUGCUCUGAUGCAGCUCCUUGGUUGUUCAAAGGGAAGGAGGUGGCUGGUGCUGCUUUGUGAAUCUCCCAGUCUUGGUGCAAGUGUUAAAUUUAGUCUCAGAACACUUACUGGAAUUAACUUGGACUCGGAACAGCCGUGGGAUUGAACUCCUCAGGAGUUUUAGAGAGCAGGUGAUCUUAUUUCUGAAUCCCAGUAAGAAUCAGGGGCCUGCAGAGCUCAGCACUGUCAAGAUGAAAGCGCUGGGAAUUGGCACAACUGCUGGGAAUAUUCAGUCUAAGGUGAAUUUUGAUGCUUUCCCUGAGUUGAUGUUUAACCAUUGUGCUUGAGCAGUGGCUCAGGAGAGACUUCCAAGGUUCCACUUCAGGUGAGGCAGCUCUGGGUGGCACCUGGGAUCCCUCUUUUUCUUUGCAUCCUUUCCCAGUCUCUGAGCAGAAAUGCUGCUUGCUUCCUUAUGGGCCUCUCCUGGGGCUAGCACUACUUUCACAGUAGGCUUUGGGACUAUUUCCAGUGAAUGAUCAGCUUUUUCAGUUUCUUUUUCUGCUUCUG